AGUCGUACAUCCCGCAAGGGGUGUGGCGGACUGCUGAGUAACACGUGAUCAACCUAACCUAGGGAAGGGAAUAACCCCGGGAAACUGGGGAUAAUUCCCUAUAGCUGAGGAGUCCUGGAACGGUUUCUCGGCGAAAGCCCGCAAGGGCGCCCUAGGAUGGGACUGCGGCCCAUCAGGUAGUUGGGGGGUUAAAGGCCCUCCAAGCCGAUAACGGGUAGGGGCCCUGGGAGGGGGAGCCCCCAGAUGGGCACUGAGACAAUGGCCCAGGUCCUACGGGGCGCACCAGGCGCGCAACGUCUUCAAUGCACGGAAGUGUGAAAGCGCUACCCCGAGUGCCCCUUUGGGGCUUUUCUACGCUCUAAAAAGGCGUGGGAAUAAGCGGAGGGCAAGACUGGUGUCAGCCGCCGCGGUAAUACCAGCUCCGCGAGUGAUCGGGACUCUUAUUGGGCCUAAAGCGCCCGUAGCCGGCUCUGUAAGUCACUGCUUAAAGACCCGAGCUCAACUCGGGGAAGGGUAGUGAUACUACAGAGCUAGGGGGCGGGAGAGGUCGGGGGUACUCCUGGAGUAGGGGCGAAAUCCGUAGAUCCUAGGAGGACCACCAGUGGCGGAGGCGCCCGGCUAGAACGCGCCCGACGGUGAGGGGCGAAAGCUGGGGUAGCAAAAGGGAUUAGAUACCCCUGUAGUCCCAGCUGUAAACGAUGCGGGCUAGGUGUCACGUGAGCUUAGAGCCCACGUGGUGCCGCAGGGAAGCCUUUAAGCCCG
rnacentral:rRNA from 1 species